GCCAGCGUGGCGUAGUGGUUUGAGCAUUGGACUGUGACUCUGGAGGCCAGGGUUCGAAUCCCGGCUCUGCCA
rnacentral:tRNA from 1 species